UGAUAUUUCGGAACAGAAUCUAGUUCCUUCGAUAUCAAAGUAAUCUAAUAGUAUGAUUAAGAAGGAACUAGAUUCUGUUCCGAAAUAUCACA